rnacentral:lncRNA from 1 species
UUUUUUGUCCCGGGCCCGGCCCGGUUAUAAUUAAUGUAUAUAUAUUUAUUAUUAUUUAUUACAUUUACAAUUUUAGUUACCAACUUACUUUUCUCAUUUCCCCCACCCGUUCAAACUUCAAAAUCCCUAACCCCUUCCCUUCCCUCCUCCUGUUUUUUUUCCCCCAAAUUGAAAACCCCACCUCCACCUCCACCGAUCAACCAUCCCACCUCCGGUGUACGGUUCUCGACGACUCCACCUCCAGGCUCCAGUUCCACGACGCUAGCGUUGUUGUUGUUCUCUACUUCUCUUCACUUCGAUUCUUCUGCAACUUCCGAAUGUAUUAUUUUUUAUGCUUUAUGUUUUAUGCUGUCCAAAGAUUUGUUUUUGUUUUCUUUUUAAAUGUUAUGUACUGUUCGAAGGUAUUAUUUUUAUGUUAAUGAACUGUUGAAAAAUGUUAUCUUUUUGUUAUUAUGAAGCCCCAAAGUUUUAAGUUUUAGUUUCUCUUCACUUCGAUUCUUCUGCAAUUAUACUUUUGAAAGUGCAAAUCCUUGUUAAAAUGGUGAGAAUCAGUUUUUACAAACUGCCAUAAGUAGAUUUAUCAAGUCUAUUUAACAAUCUCAAAAUGAAGAGAGUCUUCUUCAAAUGCUUUCUAUAAACCAUUCGUAAAUAACUAAUUUGGCCAUAAAUAAUUAAGACAAAAUAUAGCCAAGAACAAACAGAUUUAGUAUAAAAUUGUGAGGCCAUAAAUUACCUUUGGGAAUGCAAAAUUGGCCAUAAAUUAACAGAUUUAGUAUAAUAUUGUUAAUUUGUUAUCCUUUAAAAGCAUAAAAAUGUAAUGAUAUGAUAAACUUUAAAAUAUUUAAGUUAAAAAGUUAAAAGUAAUUAAAUUCGAGUUAAUUGUUUUGUAAUUACUUGUAUAAUCAUUUUUUAUUUUUAUUCUCUUUUUUUAAGAAUUGAUUGUUUGUAAUUAAAUUCAAAUAAGUAAUCUUAUUUUAUUUUUUUGUUCAUUAUAUAGUAUAUACAAAAAAAAUAUAAUUUGAUAUUUGAUAUAAUUUUAAUAACAAUUAGUUUUAAGUAAAAAAAAGGGUCGGGCCGGGCUCGGGCUUCAUAUUUUCUCCACGGGCCGGGCAUGGGCAAAAUUGUAGGCCCAUAUUCCGGGCCGGGCUGAAUUUUUUUGGGCCCGGCCCAUGAACACCUCUAAAUUGGGUUGUAAGGGUUUUUAUUUUUAUUUUUAAGUUUGGCUAGCGAACUUCGAACAACUAUUUGACGAUUGGUAUGGUGGAUCAAUAUCCAUUGAAAGUAGAAGAACUGUCUUAUAUCCAAAUAUAUUUGAUGGUCAGUGUAGGAGAUCAUUGAAGAAAAUUAUUCAGAUUUUGAUUUGCAGAUUCGUGAAGAUCAAUAUUGUUUUAUGAAGAAAAAAAAUUAAACUGUAAAAGAGAAGGAAAAUGAGAGUUUUCGAUUGAUGUAGAUGAUAUAAAUAGAGAAAGCCAUAUAAUAAUAAUUUUAAUAGUCCGAUAAUUUAAAAGAAAAACUUUUAAAUAAUUUAAUGAUAUUUUAUAUUUAUUUAUUUAAUAAUAAUAAUAUUUUCCCGGACCCAGCUUAUAAAGGGCGGUCACUGCAGGCUGGGACUCCACCAAAGAACACGGUCCCAAUCGCUUGAGCUGGGGAACCACAUGCACUGUACUCACAUUACCAAACAAAACCUUCCUUCACCUAGCUAUUACUAUACGACACAUUUUGACACUCACUAAGAUUUUUGGCACUUUCCUAUCUCUCAUCACUUGGUAAAAAGCAAUCUCACGCAUAUUUUUAAAUUUUUAAAUACUUGCAUUUAAUAUUUUAUACGAUGUCACACUCAUACAGAAAAUUUAAAAGAUAUGGGUUUGAGGUGCUGCAAGUAAAGUUGUAUUUUUUGUUUCCUGUGAAAUGCCCAGGUGAAGUAAGGGGUUUGUAUUAGGUGGCUGUCUUUUCAAUAUAAUAAUAUAAUAUGAACUGUGUGAUGGGGGUGGGGGUGGAGGGGCCUUUGCAUGGCAGAUAGAGAUGAGAAAUUAAAUUUUGGAUGGAAAUUUGACAUGCACUCAUACCAUCAUCAUUAAUAAUCACAGCCAAAUUUAAAUAAAAAAACAGGGAGCGUUGUUCACUCAGAUUUGUGGUCUCCAUCACCACCUAUCCCUUUCUGAAUGGGGGGCUACCUCUUUUGGAGGGCACACCUUUUUACUAUUUAAUAGUGAUAUGUCGACCAAAUGUAGCCAUGACUCUUUGAAUUACACCCUAUUAUGUUAUUACAACAUUUGUAUUCCAUGUAUAUUUUAAAUGUAAUUAUGUAACUAUGAUCUUACCUAUAUAUUUUAUGUAUUGUGAAUUUGG